UACGGAGGGGACUAGCGUUGUUCGGAAUUACUGGGCGUAAAGCGCACGUAGGCGGAUUUGUAAGUCAGGGGUGAAAUCCCGGGGCUCAACCUCGGAACUGCCUUUGAUACUGCAAAUCUCGAGUCCGGAAGAGGUGAGUGGAAUUCCUAGUGUAGAGGUGAAAUUCGUAGAUAUUCGGAGGAACACCCGUGGCGAAGGCGGCUCUCUGGGUCCGCCCUGACGGCUGAGGCGCGAAAGCGUGGGGAGCAAACAGG
rnacentral:rRNA from 1 species